rnacentral:rRNA from 1 species
UCUUUUCCUUUUUUUCCCUCAGCCGCGGUAAUACGUAGGGGGCAAGCGUUAUCCGGAUUUACUGGGUGUAAAGGGAGCGUAGACGGCAAGGCAAGUCUGAUGUGAAAACCCAGGGCUUAACCCUGGGACUGCAUUGGAAACUGUCUGGCUCGAGUGCCGGAGAGGUAAGCGGAAUUCCUAGUGUAGCGGUGAAAUGCGUAGAUAUUAGGAAGAACACCAGUGGCGAAGGCGGCUUACUGGACGGUAACUGACGUUGAGGCUCGAAAGCGUGGGGAGCAAACAGG